GCCAUCCACUUCAAUCAAUUUAGGGAGACGUCGAGCUCAAAAAGAUGAUGAUGAGUAUAUUCAAGUGGUGGAACAUGCACUGGAGACCCUCACAUCAGCUACCUAAAGUGACGCUUGAAAUGAUUUAGGAAAUUUUGUAUCAUCCAAUGUCCGAGAGUGAGCCCAAGAAUCUCUACAACUGGCCAAAGAAUUUAAGCGGGAUAUUCAAGUAUCACAGAAUGUAGCUAGGUCAACAUAAUGCAAUACGAAAUCACAUCUAUUUCAUCUACUACAUCUGCUAGUCCUUUGUACCUUUUUAUAUACUUUUGUUAAAUAAAACUAAAAAUAAUAAUAAUAAUUAUCAAAAAUGUUUAAACAUGUAAAAAUUUUUAUAAAAGAUGAGGUAUAUAGAAAUGAA